rnacentral:rRNA from 1 species
GAUGAACGCUGGCGGCGUGCCUAAUACAUGCAAGUCGAGCGAACAGACGAGGAGCUUGCUCCUCUGACGUUAGCGGCGGACGGGUGAGUAACACGUGGAUAACCUACCUAUAAGACUGGGAUAACUUCGGGAAACCGGAGCUAAUACCGGAUAACAUGUUGAACCGCAUGGUUCAACAGUGAAAGACGGUCUUGCUGUCACUUAUAGAUGGAUCCGCGCCGCAUUAGCUAGUUGGUAAGGUAACGGCUUACCAAGGCAACGAUGCGUAGCCGACCUGAGAGGGUGAUCGGCCAAACUGGAACUGAGACACGGUCCAGACUCCGACGGGAGGCAGAAGUAGGGAAUCUUCCGCAAUGGGCGAAAGCCUGACGGAGCAACGCCGCGUGAGUGAAGAAGGUCUUCGGAUCGUAAAACUCUGUUAUUAGGGAAGAACAAAUGUGUAAGUAACGAUGCACGUCUUGACGGUACCGAAUCAGAGAGCCACGGCUAACUACGU